ACGGUUAUUAAAACUUAUACCGGGCCUUGUUGAAGACCCCAAGUACAAUUUUUGGAGCCCUGUCCUUCGGGUCAGGGG
rnacentral:snRNA from 1 species